CAGCCGCCGCGGGAAUACGGAGGAUCCAAGCGUUAUCCGGAAUCAUUGGGUUUAAAGGGUCCGUAGGCGGUUUUAUAAGUCAGUGGUGAAAUCCGGCAGCUCAACUGUCGAACUGCCAUUGAUACUGUAGGACUUGAAUUAUUGUGAAGUAACUAGAAUAUGUAGUGUAGCGGUGAAAUGCUUAGAUAUUACAUGGAAUACCCAUUGCGAAGGCAGGUUACUAACAAUAUAUUGACGCUGAUGGACGAAAGCGUGGGGAGCGAACAGGAUUAGAUACCCCGGUAGUCCCUGUCUCUUAUAU
rnacentral:rRNA from 1 species